GGCAAGGAGGUAAAAAUGUUCAAAAAA
rnacentral:misc_RNA from 1 species